AAGCCUUCAGUUGAAUGUGAUCAGGAGGAUUUGGGCGGUAUGGUCUAGUGGUUCAAGCAUUUGGCUUGAGACCAGAGGAUCCUCGGUUCAAAUCCCAGCCUGAUGGGAAAAUCACUAAGGGCCCUUGGGUAAGGUCCUUAAUCCCCUAGGUGCUCCUGGUAUGUAGUGAGUACCUUGUAUGGCAGCACCCUCA